ensembl:lncRNA
AUUAAGAUUAAAGAUAAUGAGCAGUUGACCAGCUUCCACUAUUAAUUUUCAUCAGUAACUUUGCUUUAGUUAUAGCUCUCUCUUUGAGGAAAUAAAAUUAGUCUAGGUGUAGUCUACCUAGACUGCAGUUGUAGAAUGUAUAACUUUGCACUUGAUUUUGCUGUGUUCCAGAAACUAAGACAGUAAGAGAAAGAAAUGGGUAUGCUGUGAAAUAUAAAGCUAACAGCUGUUUAGGCCUAUUGGCAUUGGUUUUAUUUGUUGUUACCUAAGUAGGCACUAAAAAGAGAAACCUACUGAUGGCCUCUGCAGCUCUUCCAUGGGCCAUGCCAACAAUGUAACAGAAAGUCAAUAAUUUGGGUUUUGUAUCCACUUCGUUAAAACAUCUCACCCAAGUAAAAACUGCAAAUUACAUUUUUGCAUCUUUGUCUUAAUCAAAUUUAAAAGCCCUAGGUAAAGGUGUUUGUUUAUCACACCCCCUGAAGUAUGGGCACUCAGCAGCUGAGAGCUGGAACCAGAGGGGAAGUUCCCAGUCAACUAGAAGAACAAAGCAUGUGUAUGAACUGGUACUUCACGCUUCUGCCUUACAUCUGAAGAAGGAUCAUGCAAUUACCUUUACUGAGUUACUUGCAUUUGGAUUCUUGGCACUUCUGGAAGAAAAAAAAAGAUCUUGAGAAGAUUAAAAGUAUUGCAGACCACAGAGAGGAGGACAGUCAAGGAGGAAAGGUGGGAAACAACAGUGUGAGGGACUCAUGGAGGAAACUGAUACCAACUUUUCCUGGGAUGUGAUUACUUCAGAGUGGACUGGAAGGAGUAUUGGUACAUGGGCCCCAAAUGUAACCACCAUUGGAACACUCUAGAUUUGAUUUUAGUAACUAUUCUUCCUGCAGUAGCACUGGUUAUCAUAGUUGUUGUAAUAUUUUACUGCGUCUACUAUUGUAAAAAUGAAAAAGCUGGGUAAGUUACUCUGGAUGCAGUUAAAAAGUUUUUUAUAAUCAAAAUGGAAGGAAAGCAAAAGAAGUCUGGUAUUCUGAUUAUUUUUUAACCUCUGGAUAUUUAAAUCAACAAGCUUGCCAUAUAGCAUCCUCUGCCAAACUACUGUUUACGCAGUUUAAAACUAAAUCAAAGCAUCUUACCAGAGCACUUAACAGCUUUUUACUGCUGCGUGCAGAACGUCACUCUUAAGUCAUUGCUUGUCUUCUUUAGGGCUAACCAGGCAAGCUUUAAAGAUUGAUAAGUACAUUUACUACUUUAACUCUAGACUACCAAAUCUGUCUUGCUGAUUUGUUUGCUAUUAAGGGUUGGCUUGCUUUCCACAAGUUUAAAAAAAAAAAAAAAAAAAAGAAAAAGGUUUAAAAAAAAAAAAAACCAAAUUUUUUAUUUCCUUGGGAGAGGUAUCAUUAAAAAAAAAAAAAACCAAAAUGGCCAUUGACUUGGGACAGGGAUAAUUUAAAAAAAAAAAAAAAAAAAGGAAAUAAGACCGAUAAACUGACAAGAGUCUUGGCAAUUAAACACUAUGUCUCCCAUUCUUUGGUGCUAGGCAUUGGCAAUUUGAGCUGGUUUUUUGCUUUCAACACUUUAUCUUUUUUUUUUUUUUUUUCAAUGAUACCUGUCCCAAGUACAUAGACAAUAUGGUUUUUUUUCUUCUUUCAUUGAGGCCCAUUAGUGUGUAUCACUGGUACAUCCUCUGUCGUAGAAAAAUUGUAUGAUAUGGCUGUUGAACCAAUCUGCAGUACAAAAAGAUUUGUCAAAACUAUUGCUAAUGCUCUAAAUUCAUGUUGUUCCCCCAACCAGGAACCAGACAAAUCCUCCGUACCAUGAAACACAACAUAACCUCGCAUUUACUGCUGAAAUGGCUGGUAACUUGGGGCACAUUUAUCAGUAGUCGCCAAGGGUAAGAGAUGUUGGCAUGUGAGACGUAUCACAUGUUCCUAAUUCUAGUGGAAGUCAGACAUGAUUUUGUGAUUCAACAGAAUGGUAUACAAAUAGCAAAAAAAAGGUAAUCUGGUAAAAUUAAAGGUAAUCUGAGUUUAAAAUCUUCUUUUUAUUUGCCCAGUAUUUGAUUUCCAGGAUCAUCUAAAUGCAUGUGAGAAGGUGAAACUCUCCAUCAAGGAUGAAGUGAAUCUAAUUUGUAUAGGAGAAAACAAAGAACUAGGGUUAUUUUAAAAGGAUGUUCAAAUAUUUCUUUUUAGGCCAGUUAGAAGACCAACAUUAAGAAGAGAGGUAAUUUGGAUAUGAGGUCAAGCCACAUGCUAUAACCUCUUCCCUUGUAUCAUCAUUGUGCUGUUCCAGCUGCUGCGUGAGCUAGUUUCAGCCUGAUCAGCUCAUCAACUAGGUUGCUGAAUGCUAUUACUGGUACUAGUGCCUGUGCCAGGAAAGGGACGGGAGUACAUAGCCAGAGGGCAAGAGUUUGGUAUGCUGUUCAGACUUCAACCAAUUUCAGCUUCGGAAAAGCCCUGCCUACAAUUUCAUUUGACUGUUUAUUUGUUAUACUUCACCAGAGGAAGGGUUGGCUAUUUGUCUUGAAGGUUUUUUGUUUGUAUGAGGAUUGUCAGCAAAGUUCCAGGAGGAUUUGUGUAGUGUUCAUGUAAGAACAGGUAAAAGGUAGUGCUAGUAAGGUGACAUGUUUUGCUGAUGAUACCAUAGUACUUGGACUAGUCAAGAAUAAGCCUUACUAUGAGGAAGUACAGGAGGAGGAUAUUACAAUGAUUGACUGGACAAGAAAAUGACAAAUGAAAUGUAUUGUUUAUAAAUGCAAACUAAUGCAUGUAGAAAAGAAGUUUUAGCUUUGUGUACCUGGCAGUCAUCUCUAAAUGAGAAAUUAGAACUUAGAAGGGGUGUAUGGAGUAUUGUUCUGUGAAAAAGUUUGUUUUGCUAGGGAUUUUUGGGAGAAACUGAAAACAAUACGAGGAACAUUGUAAUUAUGCCUACAUUUUGACUACUGAAAGUAAUUUUGAGCACCCACCUCAGUGAGCAAUGUAGUACGUCUAGAAUUUCAGGGUCAUCAGUACUGAUUUCUGCAUAAGGAAAGGUUGUGUGAGAAAUUACUGUUCUCUGCUUUUAAUGUAAGAACUAGGCAACGUCAAAUAAAAUCAGGCAGAAGUUUUAAACAAACAAACAGUGCUUUUUGAUAAAGUGCAUAAUCCAGCAGUAUGUGCUGACAGUGUAAAUUAGCUUUUAAAAAGUAAGACAUCUAUUCAGGGAGGCAGAGGCGUUCAGAUUGGAUGUGUGCUUUCAGGUGGGUAACAUCCUGGCUGUUCCACUUACUGGGCUGUGGUUCACACCUUGGAGCAGCCUGGGAGUGCACCAGUGGAUUCCCUUCAGAUUAACCAGAAUAUAAGCUUCAAUCUCCAAUGAACAUUCAGUGCCCAGGCCAAACUAGACAUAUUCUGAAAAGCAAACCCUUCUGAAGCGCGUAGUGUCAGUGUGGGGUCCCACUUGUAUUAGUCUACUUUAUUUGCUGCUGCAAAUGCAGCCACAGACUCCACUCCAGCUCAGUCAGUUAAUGACUUUGAUGCUGCUGGCUAGAAGUUGUUGAUGUACUGGCAGUACUUCGGGUACUUACACUGUUUGCAUAUUUUUUCUUUAUGCUUCCAUUACUGGCUGUUCUCGGUGUGUUAGGUGGCCUGACCCAGUCUCUUCCUAUAUUCUAUUUCUAUUUGUGCAAAAGUAAAUUUUGCAAGUACGAGAUGUGUCAGAGUACAGGUAGAGAGGCCUAGUAAAGAUUUGAUCCAUGUUGGUUGCUUUGAAGACAAGAAAUGGGGCUUAUUUUUGUAAUGAAGUUGUAUGUAGUCACCAGCUGGUGCAAAGCAGCAUAAUUGCACAAAUCAAUUAAGACAAACCAGGUGGUACUAGCUGAGAAUCUGACCCUUUGUGAAUAAACACCACACAGUUCUGCAGGCCCAGAGUCUAAGGUUAAAACUUUAUGAAAAUGAGUAACGUUUCUUUCAAAGAUAUUUUAUUCAAUUGGAAGUGGAAUGAAAAAUCACGGAACAGGUUAAGUUGCAAUAAUGUGACCCUUCUUUCCUUUUCAUGGUGUGAGCGAUGCUGUUGAAUGAUGUUUUUGGAGCCUGGGGGGAGGAUCAGUGUAGAUGUCCAGAAGGAUAGGGCUGUACCAAAUGCAUUGUUUAUCUUUGUCAUCUCUCAGCUGCAUAAUCUAUGAAUGAUAGUACAUAACUGCUUGUAGUACGUAACAUCAGCAUUGUUGGCAGAGUUCUAGCCCUAUUUGUUUAAAAUUUACUGCCUACAACUGUGUUAGGUUUGGGGCUAGAAUAUUUAACCAUUUCCUGGUAUAUUAUUUUUUUCUAGAAAGAAGAAACUCCCUAAAUCAAAUAUGAAAUUAAUUUACCUGCAUCACCUUUGUAAUAGAAUAUUACACUGUGACCUUUACAACAUUCCUGUGAGACAGAGUGUAGACAGAGGCAUUUAUAGGAUUACAAAAGUAAUCUGUGAUGCAGCUGGGAUUUGAGCUUUGGUCCCCAAAGGGCCAGAUGCUGCCUUUUUGGCUAGGCUAAUGCCCUGCCAUGCCAAUUUUUCUCCAUUAGGCAAGAUGCUCUUUAUAGUAGAGAUCACUGCUUGAACUAGUGGGUAUCACAAAAAAAGAUGGAUAAAUGCAUUUCAAAAACAGAACGGGAAAUGUGAAAUACAGAGAAACAUGAAAGGGAUAUAUAUUUGUGUGUGUGUGUGUGUGUGUGUGUUCGCUUCCUCAUUCGGUACCUUAAGUGAUUAUUUUACAUAUUAAGGAGUGUAUAGUGUCUGAGAAGAAGACAUUGUAGGCUGUCACAGAAAAGAAAAGCAAUUAAUGUAGCCAGAUACGUUAUUUCCUGUUAAAUAUAUUUGUAAAGUACUAGUAUCUUGGAAAUGCAGUGGGGAAAAAAAAUGAGGCAUGAGCCCACCUUCACCAGGAGAUGGUGCUGUUUAAUUUUUCACUAAUUCUGAAUUUCGUUCAACUGAUGCUGUCAUUUUCAAGGUGUGAAUUACACCAAAUCCUGCACACUUUGCUAGGGAAGAAAACCUACUGUAAAAGGAACUGCUCUGGGUAAGGGCUACAGUACUUACUACUUUGUCAUGCUCCAGACUGCAAGUUGCAGCCCAGAGGCAGUCCGUGGGACGUUUCUGCCUGCCUCAUCUCCUCACUAGAUGCGGUGGUUGUGAAAACGUGAGCUUGUAAAAAGCCCGUUGUUAAUUGUCUGAGCUUUUGCUUUCAUGCCAACAAGGCAGGCC